GUUGGGAAAGCGUCAGAUUGAAGAUCUGAAGGUCACGUGUUUGAUCCACGUUUACUACA
rfam:Gossypium raimondii chromosome 11, whole genome shotgun sequence.